AAAAGUAAGACCUGCACCCUGAUGGAAAAUUAAAGAGCCGCAGUAUUUUGACUGUGCAAAGGUAGCAUAAUAAAUAGCCUUUUAAUUGGUGGCUGGAAUGAAAGGUUAAAUGGAACUUGGGCUGUCUUAGCAAAAUGAAUUGAAGUUAACUUUUUUGUUAAAAGGCAAAAAUAAUUUUAAAAGACGAGAAGACCCUAUAGAUUUUGAUUGAUUGAAUUUAGAUGUGAAUAUGAAUGUUUUAAAUGUCUAAAUUGAAUGGAUUUAAUUGGGGCGAUUAGGAAAGAAUCAAAGCUUUCCUUGACUGAAAAUAAAAAUAUUUAAACAAAGGAUCCAUUUCGAAUGAUUAAAAGAAAAAAAUACCUUAGGGAUAACAGCGUGAUUUUUUUUGAGAGUUCAAAUCGACAAAAAAGAUUGCGACCUCGAUGUUGGAUUAAGAGUAACUUUGGGAGCAGAAGCUCAAAGAUUUGGUCUGUUCGACCU
rnacentral:rRNA from 1 species